UACGGAGGGUGCGAGCGUUGUCCGGAAUCAUUGGGCGUAAAGGGCGCGUAGGUGGCCCGGUCAGUCUUUGGUGAAAGCGCGGGGCUCAACCCUGCGUCGGCCAGGGAUACUGCCGCGGCUCGAGCACUGUAGAGGCAGGCGGAAUUCCGGGGUGUAGCGGUGGAAUGCGCAGAUAUCAGGAGGAACACCGAUGGCGAAGGCAGAUCUCUGGGCCGUAACUGACGCUGAGGAGCGAAAGCGUGGGGAGCGAACAGG
rnacentral:rRNA from 1 species